rnacentral:rRNA from 1 species
AUUUUUGUGCAAUCACGAAAGCCUGACAGAGCAAUACCGCGUGAGGGAAGACAGCCCAGCGGGUCGUAAACCUAUUUCGUUAAGGAAGAAGAUAUGUCAUUAGUUAAUGAAUAAGCAUGGGCUAACUCAGUCCCAGCAGCCGCGGUAAGAAGGAGGAUGCAAGCGUUAUCUUGAAUCACUGGGCGUAAAGCGUCUGUAGGUGGUGUAUUAAGUAUAUUGAAAAGAAGAAGCUCAACUUCAAAAAUGUAAUGGAAAAUAUUAAACUUGAGGGUAGUAGAGGUAAAGGGAAUUUCCAGUGGAGCGGUGAAAUGAGUAGAGAUUGGAAGGACCACCAAAAGGGAAGGCACUGUACUGGGCUAUUUUUGACACUAAGAGGGGAAAGAUAGGGGAGCAAGUCCAGGAGAUACUCCAGUAGUCGUCCCCCCA